rnacentral:misc_RNA from 1 species
AGAGUUCAAACAGAGGUCAAAAAAACAAAAUUUAGUACAAUUGCUUGACAAGUCAGAAUAAUUUUGCCAAAAUUUGAUCAAGAACUACUUGGCCUUUGAUAAUGUUUGGAAAUGGAGUGGUUGGUAUACUCUCAGAGGCAACCAACAAGUGGGAAAGACGGGCUCCGCUGACUCCUUCACACUGUGCUAGACUGCUGCAUGGUGGCAGGGGUAAGACCGGGGUGUCACGUAUCAUUGUGCAGCCAUCUACGAAGCGCGUUCAUCAUGAUGCUCUCUAUGAAGAUGUUGGAUGUAAGAUAUCGGAGGACUUGUCGCAAUGUGGUCUCAUCUUGGGUAUCAAACAACCCAAGUUGGAGAUGAUUCUUCCUGAUAGGGCCUAUGCCUUCUUCUCCCAUACUCACAAGGCACAAAAGGAAAAUAUGCCUUUGUUGGAUAAGAUCUUAGCUGAAAGGGCAUCUCUGUUCGACUAUGAGCUUAUAGUUGAAGACACUGGAAAGAGGUUACUUGCAUUUGGUAAAUUUGCUGGUAGAGCUGGAAUGAUUGAUUUUCUACGUGGAUUGGGACUCUGGUAUCUCAAUCAUGGCUACUCAACACCUUUUCUCUCACUCGGCUCAUCUUACAUGUACUCUUCAUUGGCUGCGGCUAAGGCUGCAGUGAUUUCUGUUGGUGAAGAGAUAGCAACUAUGGGACUUCCAUCGGGAAUCUGUCCACUUGUAUUUGUUUUCACUGGUUCUGGAAAUGGUACUGUUGAUAGUAACUUAGGCUCACUAACUUCAGUUUAUUGACAUGUUUAGUUCAGCUUCUAUUCAAGACAUAUUCUA